GUCCUUACACAUCAUUUGUAUUGCUCGUUGGAUUUAGCCGUGAAUGCAAGUAGUACUCAAAACUCAUCUUAGAUCUCGUAAGAACUGCUCUCACCAUCACUGUAUCAUCAUCAUCAUCAGCAUCUUUCAGAUAUACUGAGGGAACUGUCGUCCAUCUUCCACAUGAACUGCUCCGAAAGACUUCUUCCGGACUUCGAGAGCUGGCCAACCAAAGUUCAAACAUAUGGACCACAUCUCUAUGAACUCUACAAGUCUCUGGAAGUCAUGUGGGCACACUGAUAUGACCGAAUCCCACUGGCUUCAACAUGACAUGAGCAUUUUCCCGAGCAGCAAGUAAGUAGUAAUUUUCGUGGUGCUCAGCCACCCAGGAACUCGAGGAAGAAGACGAUAAUGGCAGAGAAUAGGAGCAACAAGACAG